UGUAGGAGCGAGCCUGCUCGCGAUGGAAUGUCAUACACAUUGGUGUCGACUGACACACCAUCGCGAGCAGGCUCGCUCCCACA
rnacentral:misc_RNA from 1 species